AAUUAUGGCAACCUAUGUAAAGGCCUUAACUUGCUAUGCUGCAUUAAAAUCAUUUCUAUAAAACCAAUACGCAAGCAAUACAUGUUUGCUGCCGAGCAAAAACCUCCCCAGGCAGAGAAGUGCAUUGUUUGUCCCCAUUUGUAAAAUAUUUGCCUAUCUCACAGGGGUAUUGAAGCUUGAUUGUCAAGUGCUAACUUUCUCAUGUGUGUGUUAGUCUGGGGUGUCUUUUGCUGUUUUCUCCCAGCUUUCUUGGAAAUACCGGUAGGUCCACUGUUGUGAGACAGUCUGAACUGGAAAAGCUCCCCUCCCCUUCCCCCACCAAGCUGUGACCCAUUUGCUCCAUAGCUGCUGCCUUCGUAGUCAUUAAACGCUGUUCGGAGCAGGCUGGUGGGCUCAGCUUUUCCAUGCAGAGGGAUUCUGUUGUGGAGCUGUCCAACCGACUUUACGCUGAGAGGGGGUGUGGCUGCAGGGAGCUGCCAGUUGGAGGCUGGAGCUGGCUUUUGGUUAGAGGUGUGAAAAUACCUUUCCCCUCAGUAGUGGAGUGUGGUUUUUAAUGUCUGAGGAUAAUGGUAAAGUUUGGGGUUGUUGCUUGUUUUUACACAGGUUUCAGACUCUGCUGAGUGUGAUUAUGUUGAUCAGUAUUCCUUACAUUGUCUAAUUGCUGGCUGACCCGUGCCAAACGGCUAGUCUGUGUAUUGGAGUGCGUCAGGAUGAAGAGAUGCUUCAGGAACAGGGAAGCUUUGUUUGUUUGUUUGUUUUUAAACAAACCCACCCUAAGAUUAAAAGUGCUGAAAACAUUCUGCUGCGUGUGAGUAUUACAAUGCAGCUGCACAAUAGCAAGAUUCCUGCCAUGGAAAAUCAAAUGGGUUCUUCGCUAGCUAUUUCCUAAGCUUUGCAACGUAUGACAUUCCUCAAUACACAGCGGGCACCCUUAAUGUUUUUUAUUUUUAAGUGACCUGUCCAACUGCAGCCUGGCUCUCCGGUUGCUUAUGGAAUAAGGGGGGAAAAAGGCAGUUUUCACUUUUCUGCAAUCAAUUCUUUUUGAAAGUAGUGCAUUUAUAGUCAGUCUCAUGGCACCCUGUGAGAUGGGAAGGGACUUGCCCAUGGCCAUGCCAGUCGCAGAGCUUAUCAUAGAACACAGAAGCCAGGACUCUGGCCUCUUCUCUAGCCACUGUUCUCUCCCUACUUGUUCUGUGGUGGUGUCUUUCAAAGGCACAGGGGCAGUCAGUUGUGCACUGUGAUGCACGUCGGCAAGAGUACAUCCAUAAUUAGCCGUAUGUGCUCUCCCAUUAGUGCAAUAUCGAGCACCCUCAGCUGAGUACAGUGCAACCAAGAGGAUAAAACAGCAACGUGGGCGGGCAGAUUGUCCAGUUCUGCUGUUGCAUGGAGGUGGCAGGUCAGCUUUGGCCUCAUGGCAGACGUGCUGCCGUUCGGCUGAUGCACCCAGGAAACUUACUCUGAAGUUAAGAUUGUCUGGUGAGCAGUAAUGAAAAUCUGUUUGGACUGGGUUGUUUUUCGUUUCUUGCGCGUUAGGAUUAUUCCUAGCCUCGGAGCUGGCCUUAAGGGAGCACUGUCCAUUGCCAGGCAGGAAAAUUGAUACCAUUGUUGCACCUAUUUCCUUGCUCAUUGGGAGCAGUGGGGAGCAGCAUUCACAAUCAUAGAAUAUCAGGGGUGGAAGGGACCUCGGGGGGUAUCUAGUCCAACCCUCUGCUCAAAGCAGGACCAAUCUUUGCCCCAGAUCCCAGGAUUGAGCUCACAACUGUGGGUUUAGCAGGCCAAUGUGCAAACCACUGAGCUAUGUUCCCCCCUGAAACAGAGGGGAACAAGCAAAGAGCAGGGAAGUCACUUGCCCCAGGUCACAUACAAGGUUCGUGGCAGAGCUGAGAUUAGAACCCAAGUCUCCUGAUUUCUAGCCCACUGGCCUACCCACUGUACCAUGCCACCCUGAGAACAUUUCUAUUUCCCCUUUCUGGGUGUCUCAGCCAGUAGACUGACACCUUCUCUGUACUGUUUAUGGGGUUUUGCACAGUUAUAGCUUACACUAAGUCUUGCAGCUAACCCUGGCUUCACGUUCUGCUUACUCCAGUGCAGGUUUCAAACUGGGUUUUAGCUGCAUCAGUGCAAGUCCCUUUUGACACCAGAACACCAUGUCUACACUCAGGGUUUGCAGUAAUGCAGUUAAUUACACCUCGCAUAGACCAGGUCUGGGAUGCAGAAUGUCAGUCGUUAGCUACAGAAGGGUGGGGAGGGUACAGAGAGAAGCAGGGAGCCCUAAAGGAGUUUUAAAAACCUGGGCAUCUGCACUUUAGAUGCAUCUUGAUUUUAAAUCCACUUCUGGUCACCAGCGCAAGUCACUGCCCAAGCACACUUGAAAUUUCUCAGCCCUGGCAAAUCUAUUUUAAAAACCACGUGAAUUAUAUUUUGCUAGUUUGGGGGCUUUUGGGUCUGGCAUUAAAACGUAGGAAUGUAUAGUGGAAAUCCUUGAGAAGCUGAAAUCGAUCUGCUUUAACCUUUCUAUUUCAAUGCAAAAAGCUCUUCCAGGGGAUGGCGGUUUUAAAUCGACCGGGAUUUUGUAGAAUGCCAAUUCUGUUUCCAGUUUGUUCACUGACAUAGUGGCAGCAGCGUACGACUCAGACUAAACGCUCACUGCGUUCUCUGCACUCAGUCUGCUGCCCUAAAAGCAAGUCAGGGUACUUUGAUCCAGCACACUAGCAGCAACGUUUGGGAGGUAUUUGUUUGACAUCCUGCUGGAUGACAGCUGGUGGGGAGUGCCUGGUCCGUUGCUAAGGAAGAAGGGCAAGUGGCUGGUGACCCAUAAACACUGUGCGGCCUGGCUGUGCUUGUCUGAGCUAACCAGUUACUGCCCAGUCGCUAACCUCCCUUCAGGAGGAUUGGAUCCCUGUCCAUUCGAGGCCCUUGGAUAUGCCACUGUUGGUCUGGUUAGUGACCUCCACAGGGCAAUGGAGAGAGGUCAGGAGCUCAGGCCAAUAUUACUUGGUCUACCAAGAAAUGGCCAAGUGCUUUCGUGCCCUUUUGAAACCUGGGCAGGAACCAGAGGGCAGUGAUUGGUGGACCUUUUCUCUUGGGGAAUGUCCCAAUGGAUGGACACCGUCAGGCUCCAGCAUGUUUAGCAUGUCUGAGCUUUGGAGGGGGAGAGCGGCAUUCAGACAUUGGGAUGCUGUAUGAUAGGCAUGAAAGGAGAAUUCCUGUAACUUCAGAAAACUAUUUCAAGUUCAUGACCUGUUGGUAUUUAUCCUUCCCAUAUAUACCCCAUUUGACUCACCUUUCGCCCGCCUGGAUGGGUGGUGACAGACGCCCUGCUGUUGUCUUGGGAAGAUCCCCUCUAGCUAUCUGGACCACCCAAGAAAAGCCUUUCCUCACAAGAUCCAUCCCAGAGCCAGUGCAAACUGGACCAAGGCUCUGGGGGCUGGAUUUUCCCAUGGAGGGAUCAUGUACACCAGCACAAGGUGAAAGAAGGAUUAAGCUCCCAGGACAGGAAAAUGAAUUAACUUGCUGAGGAUUUAGGGAUUUAGCUUUUGUCUCCUUCCAGCUUUUUUAAAAUGAUGUUGCAUCCAUGAAUAAAACUGUAGGAGUGAAUUGGACCAGAGCACAGUGUUAACUGGAGUCUGUCUUCUUCCCCUGCUGUCAUCCUGGUAAUGGACAAGUGGCAUGCAAGAACUUCACUGCAAAGAUGCUACAGCCAAAGUACUGUUAUUAAUUUCUUUAGAACUACGAGCGGGACAAUUUCUUGAUAACCCUCACUGACCUUGCUCUGAUGAGGUGCAGGACAAU